UCYGGUUGAUCCUGCCRGACCCGACUGCUAUCAGAGUGGGACUAAGCCAUGCGAGUCAACAUAGCAAUAUGUGGCAUACGGCUCAGUAACACGUAGUCAACAUGCCCAGGGGACGUGGAUAACCUCGGGAAACUGAGGAUAAACCGCGAUAGGUCACUACUUCUGGAAUGGGUAAUGACUUAAAUCUAUAUGGCCCCUGGAUUGGACUGCGGCCGAUCAGGCUGUUGGUGAGGUAAUGGCCCACCAAACCUGUAACCGGUACGGGCUCUGAGAGGAGGAGCCCGGAGAUGGGCACUGAGACAAGGGCCCAGGCCCUAUGGGGCGCAGCAGGCGCGAAACCUCUGCAAUAGGCGAAAGCCUGACAGGGUUACUCUGAGUGAUUUCCGUUAAGGAGAUCUUUUGGCACCUCUAAAAAUGGUGCAGAAUAAGGGGUGGGCAAGUCUGGUGUCAGCCGCCGCGGUAAUACCAGCACCCCGAGUGGUCGGGACGUUUAUUGGGCCUAAAGCAUCCGUAGCCGGUUCUACAAGUCUUCCGUUAAAUCCACCUGCUUAACAGAUGGGCUGCGGAAGAUACUAUGGAGCUAGGAGGCGGGAGAGGCAAGCGGUACUCGAUGGGUAGGGGUAAAAUCCGUUGAUCCAUUGAAGACCACCAGUGGCGAAGGCGGCUUGCCAGAACGCGCUCGACGGUGAGGGAUGAAAGCUGGGGGAGCAAACCGGAUUAGAUACCCGGGUAGUCCCAGCUGUAAACGAUGCAGACUCGGUGAUGAAUUGGCUUCAUGCCAAUUCAGUGCCGCAGGGAAGCCGUUAAGUUUGCCGCCUGGGGAGUACGGUCGCAAGACUGAAACUUAAAGGAAUUGGCGGGGGAGCACCACAAGGGGUGAAGCCUGCGGUUCAAUUGGABUCAACGCCGGR
rnacentral:rRNA from 1 species